CGGGUAGGACAGGUGGUGCAUGGUUUGUCGUCAGCUCGUGUCGUGAGAUGUUGGUUAAGUCCCGCAACGAGCGCAACCCUUAUUGCUAGUUACCAUCAUUGAGUUGGGGACUCUAGCGAGACUGCCAGUGAUAAACUGGAGGAAGGUGGGGAUGACGUCAAAUCAUCAUGCCCCUUAUGACCUGGGCUACAAACGUGAUACAAUGGCUGAAACAGAGGGAGGCGAAGGGGUGACCUGGAGCGAAACCCAGAAAAACAGUCUCAGUUCGGAUUGAAGUCUGCAACUCGACUUCAUGAAGUCGGAAUCGCUAGUAAUCGCGGAUCAGAACGCCGCGGUGAAUACGUUCUCGGGGUUU
rnacentral:rRNA from 1 species